CUCCCUGCCACUCUGAUUUUUCCAGAGGCUCUCUGUGGCUCACUUGGAGUCGUGGAGGAGGAAGGCAGAAACACAGGCUGCUUGGCUCUGAGCUCUUUGAUCACAAGCUCCGCCACACACAUACCCUGGAAUUAUCUAACAUGGCGUUUCCAAACCCAGAAAAUUCUCUGAGCCUAUGGGAGGUGGACCACUGAAUCUGUACUUUUGUAGAGCUGGAAAAUAUCAAAUCAGGAAUUGAUAUCAAAUCAGGAGAAAAAAUUGUGGAGUAUCUGAUCCGACCUCAUUUUAGAGAUGGGGAAAUUGAGACCAAGAGAGCAGAGGAACUUACACACCCAUAACCCUGUGAUUUCUCCAUUUGGUGGCUGGAAAGGCACAUAGGCACAGGCUAUCACCAAAGGAUGACAAUGGUGAUGAUAACCUCUACUCAUUUAUGAGGGCCAAGCAGGUUCCCAGUGCUUUGCUUUGUGCAUUAACACACAUGUUUCAUGGCCGGUCAGGAUAUAUCCCAGCCUGUUCCUUCUGGGUCACGCCUGCCUUGUGGGGGUGCCUAGAAGUCCCCUUUGUCUGGGUGCCGUGUCCUUAUUCUUUUUUAGGCUCCUUGGUUAUAGACAUCGGUCAGGCCUAUUUGUCUAUAUCCUCACCUCAGAGUGAAUGUCUUGCUGAUAUGAAUCUCCUCUGAUAAAGAACUUGGAUAUAUUCUUUUGCCAGAAGACCACCUCCUCCCUGCAGUGAGGAUGGGAGAAAUGAAGACCUCAUGCAGGCUAUGCAAGAAAUAAUUGCUGUGCCUGUCCCUCCUUGAGAACACCUCUUGCCACUUCCAGGGAUGGCUCUGACUGGGUACCUGUGUUUGUACAAUUACCUUCAUCCCGUGCAACACAGUUGACAGCAUUAGCAGUGGACACCUGAACCAAACUGGAUUAUCAGAAUUUGUAAUUGGAACUUGGACAUGACAAUUGUGGUUAAUUGGGCUUGUGAAGACUGGUCAUCUCUGAAGGCCAAGGAUGCCCUUCUGAGGCUGGCCAUCUUCCAUCAUGUUCACAGAGAAAGGCAGCGAGAGUCUUGUUAAGUGACUCACAGAAGGCUAGAUGGACCAGGGAGGACUUCUGGGUCAGUGGGGCUCUUUUGGUUGUCGAUUUCUCUAAGAGCUAACUAAAAAAUAAGUUAUGAGGGGCUGGGGAUGUGGC
rnacentral:lncRNA from 1 species